rnacentral:rRNA from 1 species
CACGUAGGGGGCAAGCGUUGUCCGGAUUUAUUGGGCGUAAAGAGCUCGUAGGCGGUUUCGUGAGUCGGGUGUGAAAACUCUAGGCUCAACCUAGAGACGCCACCCGAUACUGCGAUGACUAGAGUCCGGUAGGGGAGUGUGGAAUUCCUGGUGUAGCGGUGAAAUGCGCAGAUAUCAGGAGGAACACCAACGGCGAAGGCAGCACUCUGGGCCGGAACUGACGCUGAGGAGCGAAAGCGUGGGUAGCGAACAGG